rnacentral:rRNA from 1 species
AGAGUUUGAUCAUGGCUCAGAUUGAACGCUGGCGGCAGGCCUAACACAUGCAAGUCGAACGGUAACAGGAAACAGCUUGCUGUUUCGCUGACGAGUGGCGGACGGGUGAGUAAUGUCUGGGAAACUGCCUGAUGGAGGGGGAUAACUACUGGAAACGGUAGCUAAUACCGCAUAACGUCGCAAGACCAAAGAGGGGGACCUUCGGGCCUCUUGCCAUCGGAUGUGCCCAGAUGGGAUUAGCUUGUUGGUGGGGUAACGGCUCACCAAGGCGACGAUCCCUAGCUGGUCUGAGAGGAUGACCAGCCACACUGGAACUGAGACACGGUCCAGACUCCUACGGGAGGCAGCAGUGGGGAAUAUUGCACAAUGGGCGCAAGCCUGAUGCAGCCAUGCCGCGUGUAUGAAGAAGGCCUUCGGGUUGUAAAGUACUUUCAGCGGGGAGGAAGGGAGUAAAGUUAAUACCUUUACUCAUUGACGUUACCCGCAGAAGAAGCACCGGCUAACUCCGUGCCAGCAGCCGCGGUAAUACGGAGGGUGCAAGCGUUAAUCGGAAUUACUGGGCGUAAAGCGCACGCAGGCGGUUUGUUAAGUCAGAUGUGAAAUCCCCGGGCUCAACCUGGGAACUGCAUCUGAUACUGGCAAGCUUGAGUCUCGUAGAGGGGGGUAGAAUUCCAGGUGUAGCGGUGAAAUGCGUAGAGAUCUGGAGGAAUACCGGUGGCGAAGGCGGCCCCCUGGACGAAGACUGACGCUCAGGUGCGAAAGCGUGGGGAGCAAACAGGAUUAGAUACCCUGGUAGUCCACGCCGUAAACGAUGUCGACUUGGAGGUUGUGCCCUUGAGGCGUGGCUUCCGGAGCUAACGCGUUAAGUCGACCGCCUGGGGAGUACGGCCGCAAGGUUAAAACUCAAAUGAAUUGACGGGGGCCCGCACAAGCGGUGGAGCAUGUGGUUUAAUUCGAUGCAACGCGAAGAACCUUACCUGGUCUUGACAUCCACGGAACUUUCCAGAGAUGGAUUGGUGCCUUCGGGAGCUGUGAGACAGGUGCUGCAUGGCUGUCGUCAGCUCGUGUUGUGAAAUGUUGGGUUAAGUCCCGCAACGAGCGCAACCCUUAUCCUUUGUUGCCAGCGGUCCGGCCGGGAACUCAAAGGAGACUGCCAGUGAUAAACUGGAGGAAGGUGGGGAUGACGUCAAGUCAUCAUGGCCCUUACGACCAGGGCUACACACGUGCUACAAUGGCGCAUACAAAGAGAAGCGACCUCGCGAGAGCAAGCGGACCUCAUAAAGUGCGUCGUAGUCCGGAUUGGAGUCUGCAACUCGACUCCAUGAAGUCGGAAUCGCUAGUAAUCGUGGAUCAGAAUGCCACGGUGAAUACGUUCCCGGGCCUUGUACACACCGCCCGUCACACCAUGGGAGUGGGUUGCAAAAGAAGUAGGUAGCUUAACCUUCGGGAGGGCGCUUACCACUUUGUGAUUCAUGACUGGGGUGAAGUCGUAACAAGGUAACCGUAGGGGAACCUGCGGUUGGAUCACCU